AUAAUAUAAAUAUCUGCAAACUAACCAGCUAGAUUUGACUCGACUCAAGGAUAUGUGAGCU
rnacentral:tRNA from 1 species